rnacentral:miRNA from 1 species
UGUGUGUAUAUGUGUGUGUGCAUGUGUGUGCGUGUGUGAGUGCACAUGCCUACACACACACACACACAUACACACACUUUUCCCAUACAACAGA